GGCGGCGGGCGCGGUCCCGUGUUCGGUAACAGCCGUGGCCUUCGCUCCUGCCCGCGGGACUCUCACGCUCCGCGCCCCUGGGACAGCAGGGCCCGGUCCCUCCUGCGGCUUCGUGCCAUGGAAACUGAGCAGUGGCAGCUGUGACUGUGCUGCACCAGCUGCCACAUCCUGACCCUCUCAUCUGAAAGGCUGCGCGUCGCACCCAGGGCCCACGCGAUAAGGAUCGCCGCUCCCUUGCUGCCAUACAGUCCCAUCUGUCAGUGGUCUGUCACAAAGCAGGAAGGGCAGCUUGUGGACUCUGUCAUCUUCAUGUUCCGGACUCAAGGUUAGAAGAGUGAAAACCAGGUGCAAACCCACUUCAUCCAUUUUAUUUCAGGAUCAGUUGACAAAAACUAUCCAUGAAAGGAACCGUAAGUCAAACACUUAUGGUCCUUGAAAUGUUACAAAGCUGCAAUAAACAAAUGAGUCUUUGCCAGCAUGGUCAGCCAAGGAUCACCACCUCUGUAAUCAUGUCAGUCUAUGGAGAACUUCACUUUCUAUCUGUGCAAGAGUUAGAGAAUAAAAGACUUCUUAAUUUCAGCUACCUGAAAUAACUACAUUCAGUAAUAACUUUAAUGCUUUUUUUUUCUCUCACAGGAAGUACUUGUUAGAGGUACUUUCUGUUUCUGCACAAAUAUUCAUCAACUCUGGUUGAUGACUUUGCAUCACACACUUCUUUGCAUCUUUAGCUGUGUAAGUAAUUAGCGCAGGGGGGAUGGAAAACCAUGAGAGCAAACAUCUACCCCCAAAGUUUACCCAAUUCACUCUCUUAAGAAUACUCAGUGUUCAGCUCUGCUGUUACUUAAUUGUACUGCAGUUGCAAUUCUGCGAUGCAUUGCAGGUGGUUUAGCAAGAGAACAAAUACUUAAAUGUAUGCUUUUAUUUUUCUAAUUUGCAAGACCAACAGGAUACAGUCACUGCUUGUAAUCAUAGAUCAUUACUGAUGAUAAAACAUUACUCUUCAUGGGAAAAACUAACAGGAAAUCUUGCCCCCUCCCCACAGAUUUCUCUCUCCUGUUACCAGCCUCUGCUGGGUUUAGAGACAAAAAGCUUUUUUGGCAUGGUGCUCCACAAAGAACCAGAAGUUCAGCCCUAUAAAUAACAGACACACUAGAAGACUCCCUUUCGUCCCCCCGAUCUGUUAGGAAAAAGGGACGACUGCCAAAACAGCACGCAGUUAUACGCUACUUCUCUACACUCAGGGUAUACAUACAGUGAAAAUUUUCUUGACAACUAACUAUGAAGAUUUGAGGGUAUGCAGUCCAUUCCUAAAAUAAGCUGUCUGAUCCAGGUGGUGACACAUGGAGGCAAUUCCCCCUUCUUCUGGCAGCUAUUUCCUAGUGAAAGCCUUGAAGCCCAAUCUUCUCAUUUUCUUGUCAGUUUCCAGCCUCUUGAUCCGUGCAGAUGUAAGACCUUUCAGUAGGAGCUCACAGCUGGGAUGAAGUAAGGACAGGAGAGUCUAUUAGAUGUGCCUCCAGCUGCCAAAUCAUGGUGCACUCCAGAUAAUGCUGAUGUGCAGGGAUUUUAGGGGAAUCUACAAGCACUGUUCAAGCUGCUGCAGGCUGCAGCACUUGGGAUUUUUUAAUGAGGUACACACUUUUAUUGAACUUCCUAUUUCCUUGAAAUUAAUUUUCUGUUUUCUUUUUAAGUACUUUGGUAAAAUAAGAAGCUGCUUGUCUGUAAGCUUCACCUUUAUGUUUCACAGCUCUCCAAAUCCUGUGGAGUAUGUAUCAUCGGACAGAUAUCUGAUGGGAAAAAGCAAACAAGAAAUCAGAGUCUUCUUCAGACUCUGUCCAGGCAUGUUUUUACUCUUCACCGCUGUUAAGUUUCACGCACAGCUUCCCAGCCAGGCCGGGUGCCUUCCCACCCCAUCAUCUCUUCCAUCUCUUGAUUCUCCCCCACUGACCCACUUCAAACCCACAUUGUGAAAUAGAAAAUGAAAUAAAAUUUAGCUAUUCAGCAAUGUAAGUGUGACUUUGCAAAAUGUAAAACUGCUUAAAAGUUUCUGCCCAAACUGUGGGCAAUUGAGAUAAAAUAGCUUAGAAAAUAGGGAAAGUUUUUUUUAGCACGUAGAGAGGGGUGGGGAACCUGAAACUGCUUGAAAUGAUAAAACUUUAUGUAACUACUCUAUAAUGGUAAGAAUAGAGGGUAAAACUAAAUGUCUAUUUAGAUAAGACAGACUGCAAAAAGAGUGUGUGUAAAGAUAAUUUUGAACUUGCUACUUUCAAACUGUAUAAAAAGCUGUGUUAUUUCUUGGCUCGGCGGAGUGCUCUAGGGGAAAACACCUGCCCCUUUUGCAUUUCCCCGGCCGUAAUAAAAGUGCUUUUCAGAUUGGCAGAAGUUUCUUUGAAUCAAUUUGGCACCCCAGAUGGGACAGAUUUCUGCUCGCCGGUGAGGACCCUCCGGAACCGGGGACCCUCUGCGCGCCCCGGGACGUUACUCCGGUGAGGCUCCCCGGGCUCCGCUGGAUCACCACGGGAGUAGAUGAAGACCCUGUGCACAGGUAUACAAAUUCUAAAAACACAAGUAUACAAAUUUUAAAGCACUCUUUUAUUUUUCCCUAGGGUUUUGGGAAGGAAACCGUAAGUCGUACGCCGGUUUUUAGGGCUCUGAGCUUGCUAGCAGCUAACAAGAGCAACACCCUUUUAAUAGUAGGUUCGAGUCCUAGAUGCAUAUGGCUUUGAUUGUGAGUUAGAGUCUCACCAAAGCUAUACCAAAAGAGGAAUUUUGGGCAAAGGGCUGCAUCCUUCUGAAUAUGGGUUAACAGUCCCAUUAAAGGGUGGUAUAGGGUUUUUGUGACAGAUGUUUUUGGGUUUACCACUGUGGCUAGAUUUGGGACUUGGCUUUGGAAUUGCGAUUAUUAUAAGUUUGGUUAUAUAUUAAAUCUGGGUUUGUUUUAAACCAGCUGUCUGUGUUCCAUGUGUUUGCUGAAUUGUAUUGUUUGCUUUUGUCUGUGAGUAUUGUCUCUUAUGUCAUGAAAUUACUGUUGUAUGUUAAGUAAGCAAAUAUUGGGAAAUUAUAUUUGUUUUCAUAUAUGUUACUGGUUUUUCUCCUAAUCACGGCAAAAGGACUACCUUCGUGUGUUUACGGGAGAUAGUGGUUUUGUGGUUUUAUGGUUUUAGGCGGAACCUUAACACUCAUUGUUUGCAGGAAUUAAGCCAGGAAAUUUGCUGGCUGCUUGCAGAUGCCACAAACUCCAGGGCUGACAACAUCUGAAAGUGCAAACCCAUAUCUUUGCUCAAUUUGUAAAAUUUUUCACCUCAUACCUGUAAUCUGUGUUAAAUGUUGGCAAUUUUGGCGUGUUAGGGGCAAGACUGGCAUUAAGAGAUCUUAACAUUGGAAUGGUUAAGUUUAGAUAUGGUUUUAUACAGUAUCUGAGAGUAACAAAAUCUGCAGGUAAAAUAAGGCGGAAAGGAAUAAAAGGUGGUUCUUUCCUCAUUAAUACUUAGAUUGUGAAAUUGUUACCUUGUAUCAGUAAGUGUGGAGCGUGGCUAUUUUGCAAACACCUAAGAAAGGGGGUUCUUAUUGCCAGACUGAGGAUUGCUACAGACAGGAGAUACUUGAACAAGCUAACAGGGCUGACUCAGAACUUUCCUGCCUCAAAACUGGUGUGGUGUGUGUGUGAUGAAAGUAUAUAACUGAAAUUUGCAGAUAACCACGAGUUUACAUCUGUGCAAAGGGCACGACUAGAAACAGGCCAAAGCAAAAGCUAAAAAUGGGAAACUGGCAAGGAAAACAAAAGAUUGAUAAAAGUCCAUUAGGAUGUGUUUUAACGCACUGGAAAGAAAUUGGGGAAUCUCAGGGUGAGAUUACUAACAAGAAAACUCUAAUCAAAUAUUGUUCAGAAUGGUGGCCCCUCUAUAAAUUAGAGGAAGGAGCAAAGUGGCCAAAGCACGGAUCAUUAGACUAUAAUAUUUUACUGCAGUUAAUGUUGUUUUUGCGAAGGCAUGGAAGAUGGAACGAAGUGGUCUAUGCUAAUAUGUUCUUUUGCUUGAGGGAACACCCAGAAUGGCAGAGGGAGUGUGGCAUUAAUUUAGCCCCACGAGACCCAUUUGUUCUAACAUUAGAGAAAGAGAAUGUAAAACAAGGUAUAAGAGAACUCAAAAGAUGUUGUUCAGCCUGUUCAAUAGGACAGAGAUGUUUGAAAUAUACCAACAAGGAGUUAGAAAGUAGAAUUAAGGAUUAUGUAAGUCCCUUUGGAAAAAGGGCAAAUGAAAUAGCCGAAGGAGGGGCUCCUGCCCCCCACUCAGGACCAAACAGUAAAUUGUCCGCAUCUUCAAGACAACAGGGGAGGGAAAGAGACGGAGAAAGGGGAAGAAGGGAAAUUCCUUACUUAUCUCCCCUGAGCAGGCGGACAUGCAGUAAAACGAGAGCAAAAUCUGUCUCCCAACACACAGAGGCCAGGCGGACUAUACAAGCCCCUUUAAGGGAGGCUGCAGGACCGCAGAGGCCUAUAAAACUUAAAGUCAAUUUCUAUAUGGGAGAUUUAGAAAAUUGGAAGGAUAUUGCUUGUAAAUAUAGAGAUGACCCAGUUGGGGUAGAAAGACAGAAAUUAGGUAAAACUGUCACAAAAGCAACCAUCGCCGCCCUGGAUAAAAGAAACCAUCGCUCUAGGAGACCUGGACGGCACCCUGGAAGUAGUGACCAUCAGAAAUUGAGACCAAACCAAUGUGCAAUUUGUAAAGAAAAUGGACAUGGGAAAAGAGAAUGCCCUCAAAAAAAAAAAAAGGCAAAAACCUAUUUUAAUGGCAGAAUUGGACCAGGAUUAACGGGGACCGAGGAGUUUGCCCCCAGGGAUCCCUUGGUUAUAAUGGAACUGGGGAAAAAUAAACAUAAAAUAGAAUUUUUAGUAGAUACUGGAGCAACAUUCUCUGUUAAGCAUUAUGGACAAUGUAUCUUUGAAUGUAAUAAGAGCCACUGAUCAAGUUGAAAAAGUAUCUGUUAUGAAACCACUAAGUUUUAAAUUAAGUAAGACUUUAAGUAUACAUAAAUUCCUUUAUAUGCCUCAUGCUCCUAAAUCACUUUUGGGAAGGGAUCUAUUAGAAAAAUUGAAUGCAGAAGUUAGGUUCAACAAUAGAGAUAUACAAAAUUAAAGUAAAAGAAAAUGAAUUAAUCGAAAUUUUAAGUCUUGCUCUAAUCCAGCCACAGAUAUCGGGAGAAGUACCACCAGCAAUCUAUGACCAAAUCUACCCGGGGUUUUGGCUGACGGGACCCCAGGAAGGGCCAGACAUGCUCAACUUUUAACAGUAAGAUUAAAACCUGGGACACGGCCGAUUUAAAAGAUGCCUUUUUCUGCUUGCCUUUGGACCCUAAAAAAUAUCAAAAUUUUUUUGCCUUUGAAUGAGAAAGCCCGGAUACAGGAAGAUGAGCACAGCUUACAUAGACUGUUCUCCCACAAGGAUAUAAAAUAAUCCAACAAUUUUUGGAGAUCAGCUUGCCAAAGAUCUUGAAGAAUAGACUGCACCUUCAGACAGCGGAGUCCUCUUGCAAUAUGUAGAAAUCUCAGGAAGAAAACAUCAACAUGGGUCAGAAAGAAAAGAAGCCAUCUGUAAAAUACCUUUGCCCCAGACUCCAAAAAGAACUUUGCACAUUUUUAGAAUGACUGGCUGGUGCAAGCUUUGGAUCUACAAAAAUAGACUAAUAGUCAAACCUCUAUACCAGAUUCUACAAGAUAGAGAUCAACAAUUAACAUGGACUGGAGAAGCUAAGCAAGUUCCAUCGGCUUAAGAAGGAACUAAUGCAGGCACCUGCACUGGGCCUCCCAGAUGUGACUAAGCCUUUUUUGCUCUUUUCACAUGAAAGGCAGGGAAUUGCACUGGGGGUCCUGGCCCAGCAGGUCGGACAAUAUUGCCGAGCAGUGGCAUACUUCUCUAAACAGUUAGAUGAAGUGAGCAAAGGAUGGCCAGGAGGUCUGAGGGCCGUAGCUGCAGUAGUACUGAACAUACAGGAAGCCUUAAAGUUCACAAUGGGACAGAAAAUGACUGUUCUAGUGUCACACGUGGUUUCAGCAGUGCUUGAACAGAAAGGCAGUCACUGGCUCUCGCCCUCCGGGUUUCUCAAAUACCAGGCCACUCUAGUAGAACAAGAUGAUGUUGAAAUCGUCACCACUAACAUCAUAAAUCCAGCAACAUUCUUAUCAAGUUCAACAACCACAGAGGGACCGGUGUAUCAUGAUUGCAUUGAAACUAUUGAAGCAACAUAUUCCAGCUGACCGGACUAGAAAGAUACACCACUGCCCGAGGCAGAAAUGUGGUUCACCGACGGAAGCAGCUAUAUGAAAGAUGGAAUCCACAAAGCUGGUUAUGCAUUGAAAGAAAAAGAAAGGACAUUAAUAUUUGGAUGGACUCAAAGUAUGCCUUCGGAGUAGUUCAUGCUCAUGGAGCAGUGCGGAAAGAAAGAGAGUUACUCACAUCCCAAAAAAAAAAAAACAAAAACAAAAAAACAGAUAAAGCACGCAGAAAAUUACUUGAAGCUGUCCAGUCACCAAAAAAAAGCUUGCUAUUAUGCAUUGUAGAGGACAUCAAAAGGGGAAUACAGACCAAGAAAAAGGCAACCGAUUGGCGGAUCGAGAGGCAAAAAAGGCAGCAGAAAACGGCCAGGUAGAACUUGCCUCCCUAAUUCCUGAUGGCAAAAUCAUAGAGGUAAGCCCUAAUGUAUCAUAUUCAAAGGAGAAUUUAAAAUUAAUAAAAGAUCAGCAAGUUCAACGCAAAGGUAACAUGUACUACUUAGAAACAGGACAAAUAGUGGUACCUGAAAAGGUACUAUGGAAAGUUGUACAGGUAAAACAUAACAAAACUCAUUGGGGGCAGAUGCACUACACAAAUACCUAAGGAGACAAAUAAUAGGAUGAAAUUUAUACACUACAAUAAUCCAGGUUACUAAACAAUGCAAGACCUGCCUUCAAAAUAAUCCUCACACAACCAAUAAAAUCGAGACAGAGACAAUUGGCAAAGGUAAUCUCCCAGGGCAACACUGGCAGAUAGAUUUCUCUGAGUUGCCUAGGAAAGGAGGUUACAGAUACCUGUUGGUUUUGACAGAUACUUUCUCAAAUUGGCCAGAGGCUUUCCCGACUUGAAGCAAUAAGGCUCGAGAAGUUGUCAAGGUACUACUUAAUGACAUUAUCCCCAGAUUUGGAGUACCUGACAUCAUCUCCUCGGACAGAGGACCACAUUUUGUAGCUAGCAUAGUACAAAGAAUUAGCAACAUCCUGCAAAUCAAUUAGCAAUUACACACUCCAUAUCGACCACAGGCAAGUGGUCAGGUGGAGAAAAUGAAUCAUUUAAUAAAACAACAAUUGGCAAAAAUCUGUCAAGAAGUAAACCUACAUUGGUACCAAGCUUUACCUCUGGCCUUAUUGCAAAUAAGGGUCAAACCUAAGACUAAAGAAGGGCUGAGCCCUUUUGAAAUGUUAUAUAGAAGACCCCAUAGGAAUUAUUAUCAAGGAGAAGAUCUCAUACAGGUUGGGGAAAGAUAUAUACGAGAAUACCUGAUCUCAUUAAGUAAACAACUGUCAAAAAUUAACAAACAAGUAAUGAGUACUCGCUCAAGAAGAAUAGACCAACCCUUACAUAACAUUUCCUCUGAGGAAUGGGUGUAUGUUAAAACUUUUUCAAGCCAACCAUUAGAGAACAAACAAAUAUAUCCUCUAUAAAAGAGGUCUGCCAACUCUUCAUUCUCCAAAGUCUUAAAAGAUAGAAUGCUUGGAGCCCAGAGAGAUCUAAUGGGGUGGUUUGGAUCGGGACUAGGAGUAUUAAAUUCAAUAGAUCAAGAAAUGUUAAUUAAUAAACUCAGCAAUGUAACCUCUGAUGUGAGAAAGCUGGAAGUACCACUCAGAUCAUCAUUAAUGACUAUAGCUGAAACAGAAUCUCUUACUACAAAUUUGAUGAUCUUGUUAACUGAACACAUAUCUAAAGACUUUCAAGUUGUGACUAAUGUCUUUGAAAAAUUACAAAAAAGAUGUUUCAGUAGCAAUACAGUGUAUCCAAACUCAGCAAUGGAUACAAUCUGUAUCAGGAAUUAUAAGAAAAAAAACCUCAGGAAUUUUACCUCAAGAGAUAAGAGAGAUCAUAUCCAGGCAAGACACCACAAGUAAAUUUGAAAAAGAACAUCAGGCAUGGUGGCAGUUAGUGAAUUUCACAUAUAACACAGAACAGGAACAGAUAGAGGCAUAUGUUCUUACCAUCCGUGAGGUAAAAGAACAGACCAUAUUUCCUGUCUUAGCAUUAGGAGCAAUACACUGAGACAUUGUAGUUAGACCUAUAGGGCAUAAUGUCUGGGCAAGAUAUGACAAGGACAUGGGGAAGUGACAAACUGACAACACAAAGGCCUGUAUACCUAAAGAACAACUAGGAUAUGUGUGUGAAAAUGCUGUAAUAGAGAAGGAGGAUUUAUGUUUAGAUACAGAAGACAGUGUGUGUACGUUUGAAAUGUUCCCAAAUAUACAGGCACAGUCCCAAGUGUAUUAUGUGAGUAAGGGAUGGGCCUGCAUCAGGACACCUUGCACAAGUAUAACAAUUGAUAAUUGUAAAAAAUUAACUAAUGAUACUAACUUUUGUGUUUGCAAUUUUACUAAAGUAAUAAGAUGUGACUUUAGAUACACUGCUCCUGUGACCACCAUGCAAUUGAUCUCGGAUAAAUAUAUGUUAUAUCAUGAGGUGCCUAAACUACAAAUAGGCAUAGAUAUUAAUAUCCUUCAGAAAAUGCUCUAUCAUCCAGAUAUUGAACAAAUGAUGGAAAAGGUAAAUGCUACUUCACGUCGCAUGCUGUGGCAAGUGAAACACGACACAACAGAGAUAAGAAACAUCAUCACAGAAGUGACAAAGACUGGAGAACAUCAUUGGUGGAGCAGGUUUUUGAGAUUAAUCAAUAGACAUUCACCCACAGCAGCUCAGCUAUUUAACUUCCUGAUUCACCCGAUUUGGUUUUGAUGCUGACAGCUCUCCUCCUUACAAUUGUCAAUCUAUGGAUGUAGUGGAAAAUAAGAACUAUAGCACAACAAGUACCCGUGCUCUGGACUGCACAAAAGUGAUGCAAAAGAAUUUGCAUUAGUUUAAAGAAAAGGAGGGAAUUGAAAUAGAAAAUGAAAUAAAAUUUAGCUAUUCAGCAAUGUAAGUGUGACUUUGCAAAAUGUAAAACUGCUUAAAAGUUUCUGCCCAAACUGUGGGCAAUUGAGAUAAAAUAGCUUAGAAAAUAGGGAAAGUUUUUUUUAGCACGUAGAGAGGGGUGGGGAACCUGAAACUGCUUGAAAUGAUAAAACUUUAUGUAACUACUCUAUAAUGGUAAGAAUAGAGGGUAAAACUAAAUGUCUAUUUAGAUAAGACAGACUGCAAAAAGAGUGUGUGUAAAGAUAAUUUUGAACUUGCUACUUUCAAACUGUAUAAAAAGCUGUGUUAUUUCUUGGCUCGGCGGAGUGCUCUAGGGGAGAACACCUGCCCCUUUUGCAUUUCCCCGGCCGUAAUAAAAGUGCUUUUCA